GCCCUAGUUUUUAUAUGUUAUAUCCAUUUACUCAUGAAAAAUGAAAAUAAUGUAACCACGUCUGAAACCGACCCUAACGCCCUUACCUUUACUCAAACUGAACUUGUUUUACCUCUAUCUCAUCCAUUCUAUCUUCAUCCUUCUGAUAAUCCUGGUACUAUUAUCGUGACCAAACAAUUUAAUGGGGACUAUUUUGGAGCAUGGAGAAAAGGCAUUAUUAUUGCCUUGGGGGCACAGAAGAAGUUAGGAUUCAUUAAUGGGAGUUAUGUUCAGAUUCUCUUUUAUUUGAACAGUGGGAACAAUGCAAUAACAUGAUCAAUAGCUGGAUCCAUAAUUCUUUAGACCCGUAUAUUUCACAGAGUGUCAUAUGUUCCAAGUCUGCUAAUAGUCCAUGGGAUGAAUUGAAGUAGAAGUAUGGGCAAGAAAAUGGUGCUAGGAUGUAUGAAGUCCUUUACCAAAUGGUGCUAGGAUUUAUGAAGUUCAAAAGGACUUGAGUUCUAUAUCUAAAGGUUCUCCUAAUGUGGGUGGUUAUUUCAAUAAGGUAAACAAACUCUGGGAUGAAAUGGAGUCUUUUGAAGCUAACUCUUUUUUUGUAUGUGAAUAUAAAUAUGGAGGUAAACACAAAAUGAUUAUAAAGAUGAAAAAUCAGAAAUUGAUGCAAUUUUUGAUGGGUUUGAAUUAGGUAUUCAACAAAGCUAGAGGAAAUAUUAUGAUGAUACAACCACUUCCUGAAGUUAGCAAGGCUUAUUCUCUAGUUGUUCAAGAUGAGAAGCAGAGAGGGAUUCAUAAUGUAACUGAUUUUCAGUAUAACUUUGAAACCUUUUCUGCUGGAUCUAAUCGUCCCACUUAUAAUCCAAAACCACCUCAAACCACCAAUUUUACACAGAAAUAUACUUUUAACAAUCCAAAUCCUAACAAUCAGGGUUUCAACAAUCAAAAGGGAGGCUAUGAUCCAAAAGGCUCUAUUGCAAAUAUUGUAAAAAGAGUGGACAUGUAAUUGAGAAGUGCUACAGGUUGCAUAGGUUUCCACAACCUUAUAAAUCAGGGAACAAGAAUGUCCGAGUUGCUGCACCUGUUCAUACUUCUCAUGAUUCUAAGCCUGAUCAUUCUCUUGAGAAAUGAAUAUUGCAAAUACCAUCACACCUAAUUAGUACAGGAAACUUAUGAAUAUCCUUCAACAUGUUCAAGUUGGUCCUGAUGAUUCUCAAAGUCACUCUGCCACAACUAACUUUGCAAGGCUCUUCUUUGAAGAUGCCAUUGGUACCUAGUAAGAUGACUAAAGGGCUCUAUCUGUACAACUCAAGAUCACAAUCUCCAGUCACACAUUCUAGACCUCCAUCAACUUGUCCUUCCACUCGUUUAAUUCCUUUUCUAUUCAUGCAAAUGCAUUAAAUGUAAAUAAGUCCCAACUUCUAUGUCAUAAUAGGUUGGGACACCUUACUGUUUUAAAAUUACAAAAAAUAAACUCUUUGAAUGUACCAUUUUCUGAUAAAUAGUCUUUCAUUUUUUAUAUAUGUCCAUUUGCUAGACAACAAAGAAAUCUUUUUACUGAGAGUAAUUCUCAUUCUUCCCAUUUAUUUGAUCUUAUUCAUGCGGAUGUUUGGGGACCGUAUCACACUGCUACACAGAGAUCUUAUAGAUAUUUUCUCACAAUUGUGGAUGAUUGUAGUAGAAACACUUGGACACACCUUCUAAGUCACAAGGGCAAUGCUCUAUCCAUUAUAAAGUCAUUCUUCUCCAUGGUUGAAACUCACUUCAACACCAAAAUUAAAACUAUUCGAAUAGACAAUGCUUUGGAACUUGGUACCAGUUAUGAAUCUAUUCAAUUUUUUUGUCCAAAGGCAUUUUAUACCAAACCUCUUGUCCUUAUAUACCCCAAAAAAAUGGAAUAGUUGAAAAAAAACAUAAAUAUUUGCUAGAAAUAGCAAGAGCUUUGCUUUUCCAAUCCAAACUCUCAAUUAUAAUUUAGGGAAAUUGCAUUUUAACUGCCACCUACUUGAUUAACAGAUUUCCUAGUACCAUCUUAUUAGGCAAGACUCCUUAUGAGGUUUUAAUUGGGGAACAACCUUCUUACAGUCAUCUAAGAAGCUUUGGGUGUUUGUGUCAUGCAAUGAUCCCUAACCACAUAGGAAUAAGUUCUCUCCUAGGUCUAGCGCAUGUGUUAUGUUGGGAUAUACUCCUAGAAAAAAAGGCCUAUAAACUCCUACAACUUUCUGAUUAGAAAAUAAUUUUUUCAAGGGAUGUUGUUUUUUAUGAAAGCAUUUUUCUCUUCUCAGAUGCUCCUUCUUCCAAUGUUUUGUUCCAUUCUACACAUAUCUUUUCUGAUUCGACUCAGUCACCUUCAUCUAUUACUUCUGUACCUAUAGAGCAUUGUCCUGUUUCUUCCUCUCCAUCCAUCCCCCCUUCUGUUCCGUCUCACAGCACUCCAGUUCUUCUUUUCCACCUUCUAAACAAGUUCCUUCACCUUCCUCACCUGAUAUACUUUCUUCCUCACUUCCUCUCACUUUAAGAUAUCCUUCCAGAACUCACAAUCCUCCUCCUUACUUAUCAGAUUAUUUUUGUGGUGUUCUUCCUCCUGCAAUUCUAACUUCUAUACUUGUUUUCCCUACUUUUAUAUGCUUCAGUAGUCUAAGUUCAAUCAAUUAGAAUUUACUUCACAAUUUGGACAUCGUACAUGAAUCAUCCAGUUUUCAUCAGGUAGUGUUGCAUCCUGCCUGGAAGGCUGCGAUGUUGAAGGAAUUUGAGGCUCUUUAACUUAAUAUAACCUAGGAUAUAGUUCCUCUCCCUAUGGUAAAGAAGCCAAUUGGUAAUAAAUGAGUUUAUAAGAUCAAACAUAAUGUUGAUGGUAGUAUAGAGAGAUUUAAAGCUAGGUUAGUCGUAAGGGUGAUACUCAACUAGAGGGGAUUGAUUAAAAUAAAACCUUUUCUCCCGUAGUAAAAAUGACCAACAUUAGAACAAUUAUAGUUGUGACAGUCAAAAAGGAUUGGACUAUGUUCCAAUUGGAUAUUUAUAAUGCCUUCUUAUACUGGGAUCUAGAUAAAGAGGUGUACAUGAAGAUAUACCAGGGCCUGACUGUUUCUGGACCCAACAUGGUUUGUAAGUUGAACAAAUUCUUGUAUGGCCUAAAGCAAGCUUCGAGGCAAUUGUAUUCAAAAUUAAGUGAUUCUCUUCUUUCUAACAGUUACUCAGUUUCUAAGAAUGAUUACUCUCUGUUUGUCAAGUCCACUGACUCUCAUAUUACAAUUGCUGCUAUUUAUGUUGA